UCCGCGCUCAUGUUAACGGAUUAAUAAAACGUUCAUACUGUACACAGUUGCGGUCCAUCAGUGCGUUCCAUGAGCGGUGCGUCUGCAACAGUGCAGAGAUCGUUUCCGCACCGAGGGUGCGUCAGAAAU